AGCGCUCCGGGCGCUGGACCGUACUUGGGACUCUAGAGGGCUGCGUCCGGACAGAGAAGCUGGGUGGCGAUCUGUGGGUCACUCCUGGAGGUGUCUCUACCCGGAGCUGGAGAAAUGGGCUCCAAGGCCAGCUUCUCGGACGAGCGCCAGCCUGAGAUGGAAGUUUGCUAGCGCUCUAGACACCGCGCUGACCCGGAGCCGAAUCUUUAUCUUGGCUGGAAAGGCUGAUUUCGACCGCCAAGCGCCAGUCCAACGUGGGCCAGAGAAACCGAGACCUCCUUCACUGUGCUAGGGUCUUCCUGAUGCUCCUUGUGUCUUUGGAAAAAGAUGCUUGAAGAUUUCAAUCAGCCUCCUGGACAGAAUGGUGCUCCCAGCUAGCGCCUAGCUCUGGCCAGGUCAGCUCCAGGUGUUCCUAGGAGAAAGAAUACUGCUCCUGAGACCCACCAAAGACAAGCCCGCUGGACACCGUCCACCAGCAGGGGAAUUCCCUCUAGUGCCCAUAGCUCCUGCCCCAGGAGACACUGCUUCCUUCCAGGCAGAGAAUUUACCUAGGCCUCAAAGGAUGGCUGUCCCAGCUUCCUUAUUCACAUUCCUGCCUUGGCCUUUGAGACCUGCCAGCACAGGAGAUACCCCACCACCACCCAUUCCCUGCCUUUAUUGGUGAGUUGCUAUCUACAGAGUUGCUCUGCAGUGGCCUCUGCUGAGCAUCCUGAGAGCACAGAGCUGUAACACCUCUUGAUGGUCCCUUAUGUAGGCAACCCGAAGUCUACCAAGAAUGUAGGUCUGUAGCACUCCCCGUCUCUCAGUCAGUUGAUGCCCAUUUCUACUUUCCUGUUAAAGUUUGUGCUUUCCCAUUACAAUUUCUCCCACGUGGGAAAAAGGUUCCCUUUGUUUUUCUUUUACUGUCUGUCCACUCCAUUUUUAGUGCAAGACAGGAACCCAAGAAAGAAAUAUCAACUGUCUCAAUAUGAAAGGACUACCUGGCCUAGCACAUUCUACCAACAGAAGCAAGAAAUAAAAAACAUUUGCCAAAACAAGAUAAAGAAGCAGGUCACAGUGACAUAAAGUCUCAACAAAUGCGGGUGAAAUGAGAGGAUCACUGUGUUCUUUAAAAUUCCAGAUUUGUGUGUAAGGCUGGAAACUUGUUUACUUCUGUGUUUUAUUGGAUGCAACCUAAAAGAAUU
rnacentral:lncRNA from 1 species